UUGCUCUUCGGGUGACGAGUGGCGGACGGGUGAGUAAUGUCUGGGGAUCUGCCCGAUGGAGGGGGAUAACCACUGGAAACGGUGGCUAAUACCGCAUAACGUCGCAAGACCAAAGUGGGGGACCUUCGGGCCUCACACCAUCGGAUGAACCCAGAUGGGAUUAGCUAGUAGGCGGGGUAACGGCCCACCUAGGCGACGAUCCCUAGCUGGUCUGAGAGGAUGACCAGCCACACUGGAACUGAGACACGGUCCAGACUCCUACGGGAGGCAGCAGUGGGGAAUAUUGCACAAUGGGCGCAAGCCUGAUGCAGCCAUGCCGCGUGUAUGAAGAAGGCCUUCGGGUUGUAAAGUACUUUCAGCGGGGAGGAAGGGGGUGAGGUUAAUAACCUCAUUCAUUGACGUUACCCGCAGAAGAAGCACCGGCUAACUCCGUGCCAGCAGCCGCGGUAAUACGGA
rnacentral:rRNA from 1 species